UUGCUUCUGCAACAGGUUUACUAAAAUUAGAACCAUAAGGAGAUUAGCAUGGUCCCUAUGCAAGGAUGACAUGAAAAUUUGUUAAGCAUUCCAUAUGACA
ensembl:snRNA U6 U6 spliceosomal RNA